AACACUGCCUACAUACGUUUUCGAGUUCACAUGGAGUAGUUCUGCAAGAGCCAUCUGAUCCGAUGUUAUUCAAGGGCAGCUCAGACACGUAAGGAGUCUCAUCAUCUUUCAGCAGUAUGCAGUGGAGACAUGCAUGGUUAGAGACGAGGAAUGCAGUCAUUAACACGAGAGAUGGUGUGAACAGAAGUGAGAGAUGGGUCAAACAUGAUAGCAAGAUGUCCAGUGCAGAGAGAGGGCUUCACAUUAACUCCAACAAUAAUGCGCUGUUUGUUUGCGAAAUCAUGCAUAACAUACAAGCAGAUUGGAGAGAAUUUAUUGCAUGGCAAAAUCAUGGUUUAAAUGUUUUGUGUUAUUCCUAAUUAAAUCAACUCACUGCAUUGCUACUCUUUUAUGGAAAGAGUACAAAGAAGUUGUGGGAGCAACAUUUCUAACACCCUCCAGCAUGUAAUUUUCACUAAAUGCUGUCUGCUGUGUGGAAUGUCAAAACUCGUAUAGACCUACAUGAUUACAUAAUUGUCAUUUUUGGGUAAACUAUUCCUUUAAGAAACGCAUAUCAGCAUCUCUCCAGCACACCCUCUGUGGGUUCUCAUGCGUAAAGACCAUGAAUGAGUUGCUUUCUAAGAAUUGUUUUAGUUAUCAUAUGUUGGAAGAUUUAAUGCAU